AACAACAACAACGAUGUUCUGCUCCAGAUACUGGCUUUGACCGGCCAAUUCAGAACAAACUGGUAAAAUAUUAGAUUAACAUAGAAGAGUAAAAUGUUUUGUUAAAAAGAAAAUAAAAUAAAAAAAAAAUAUCUAUUUUUUACUCAGCGUUGUUAUAAAAACACUGCCUAUCUUUGUAAAGAGAUGUCUAAAUUAUUUCUACUUGUUAAAUUUUUUUAAUUCUGGUUGGCUUUCUUUUGAUAGCUCAAAGUGUCACUAUGGACUGCAGACUUCAAUCGUAUGUCUCGAUGGGUCAUCCUGUGUGGUUAGGUGAUGUCUUUACUGAGGAAAGUUUAUAAUCCUGUGAUUGAUCUGAGCUUUUGGUGUGUGGUGUUUAGGUUAGGCCCUACACUGUGUGUUGUUAGGGCUUUUUCUAAGUAUGGAUGUGCCCUCUUUCAGCCUUAGUUUUUGCCUUGUUUGUAUGUAUGGGUUGACAUUUUAAUAUUUUAUCUAAAUAUAACGCCAGUUGAAAAAAAGGUUGGCUUUCUUUAGCUUCAGGUAAACUUGAAACAAGAACCAAAUGUCAAGACGAACCGGUCGCC
rnacentral:lncRNA from 1 species